rnacentral:lncRNA from 1 species
AAAUUAAAGUUGGGUCUAGAUUUUGAAAUUAAAAAAAAAAAAAAAUUAUAUAGGUUCCUUCAGAUAUAGUGAAUUAUAAAUAGACUGGGGCUACUAUACUUUUAUGAGUAUAGACCUCCUUGUACUCAUAAAUUUUUAACCGUUGAUUGAUAGAAUGUGUGGUUAGGAUGAUGGAGGUCCUAACUUAGAAUGAUAGUGGUCCCGUAGGGUUCAGUGGGUUGUUGGUUUAAUAGUAAUAUGAUCUAACGGAUGGAAAUGAUCAAUGAAAUAAAUCUAAGGGCCAAAAACUUAUGAGUAUAAAGGUGCCAAUACUCAUAAAAGUAUAGCAGCCGAACUCUUACAAAUAUAUUCCUAUAAAACUCAACUUUUAUACAUUUUUUUCUAUAAAAGUCUAAUGUUUUCAAAUAUGUCCUCUGAUUUAUUACCGUUAAAACACCGAUUAUUUUAUAGAUGAAAUGAUCGUUUUGCCGUGACAAAUUGGUCUUACCAAAAAUCUCAAUUAUUAAUUGAAGAGGGAUAAAAAUGUCGAUUCACCUCAUUAACUAACCCGAGUUAAAUAUUUUACCUAUGUUGUUUAACUAUUUUUUUUCUUACGGAUCCUAACGGUAGAAACAUAUUUAAAAAUAUUAAAAUUUUUAUAGAGACAGUAUAUAAAAGUUGAACUUUAUAGAAAUGUAUUUGUAAUUCACUAUAUUUGUAGUGACCCAUAUGCAAUUAACAUUUUAAAAAAUAGCCUCUUGGGGUACGCUUAAUCAGGAUGUUGAUCAAAUAUUCAUUUACAAAUAUUCUUCUAAACUUUUGAAAAUUAUAUAUUUGUCACACAAACUUUUGAUUUUUUUUCUUUUUUUUUUUGUAAUUAAUCACUAUAGAUUGUAUUCUAUUAAUAAUUUGAAUUGACUAAGUUCAGGAACUAAGUAACAGUACAAGGAUAGUAGAGAGGCCAUCUAUAUAUUUUUUAAAAAAUACAACAUGUAUAGGGGUAUUAAACGUUUAAAAAAAUAAACUUCAAAUAUCACCCUAGUAGUUUCGCAUUUUCUCACUUUAGUGCCCUAUGAUUUAAAGCGUAUCAAUUUUGUACCCUAUAGUUUCAUUUUUUUCUCUUCGCAAGUCCCCCCGUUAACUUUUCGUUAAAUCAUAUACACAAAAUUUCAGAUACCCCACCUACGAUUUAUCGAAUAUUCACCUUUGUACCUUUUAGUUUUAACUUGGUCACCGAUUUAACAAAAAAAUUAGUAGAGGAGAUAAUGAAAAAAACAAAAUAAAAUCACUAGGUACGAAAGUGAUACAUUUUAAAUCAUAGAAUAUUUAAGUGAGAAAAUGUGAAACCACAGAUGUGGUAUUUGAAAUUUUUUCUUAAAUUUUUUUUUUUUUUUGAAUCAGCGACAAAAUUAAACUAAAAGGUACUAAAAUGAAUAUUCGAUAAACUAUAGGUGUGUGUCUGAAGUUUUUAAAAAUGAUUUAGCGAAAGGUUAACAGAGGGGUUGACGAAAAGGGAAAAAUAAAACUCAGGAUACUAAAUUAAGCCGCAGAUUACUAAAGUGAGAAAGUGUGAAAUAACAUGAGCGAUAUUUAAAGUUUAUUCGAAUUUAAAACAAAAGACAAGAGA